rnacentral:rRNA from 1 species
GACUUUAUCGUACUCCGAUGCACCAGAGAUUAAUGAUCAUGGCUCAGAUUGANCGCUGGCNUAAAUGCCUUACACAUGCAAGUCGAACGGCAGCACGGGUGCUUGCACCUGGUGGCGAGUGGCGAACGGGUGAGUAAUACAUCGGAACAUGUCCUGUAGUGGGGGAUAGCCCGGCGAAAGCCGGAUUAAUACCGCAUACGAUCUACGGAUGAAAGCGGGGGACCUUCGGGCCUCGCGCUAUAGGGUUGGCCGAUGGCUGAUUAGCUAGUUGGUGGGGUAAAGGCCUACCAAGGCGACGAUCAGUAGCUGGUCUGAGAGGACGACCAGCCACACUGGGACUGAGACACGGCCCAGACUCCUACGGGAGGCAGCAGUGGGGAAUUUUGGACAAUGGGCGAAAGCCUGAUCCAGCAAUGCCGCGUGUGUGAAGAAGGCCUUCGGGUUGUAAAGCACUUUUGUCCGGAAAGAAAUCCUUGGCUCUAAUACAGUCGGGGGAUGACGGUACCGGAAGAAUAAGCACCGGCUAACUACGUGCCAGCAGCCGCGGUAAUACGUAGGGU